CGGAGGUCCAAGCGUUGUCCGGAAUCACUGGUGUAAGGGUGCGCAGGCGGCGUGUAAGUCAGAGGUGAAAGCCACCGGCCUAACCGGUGAACUGCCUUUGAUACUGCACGUCUUGAGUCCCGGAGAGGCUAUCGGAAUUCGUGGUGUAGCGGUGAAAUGCGUAAAUAUCACGAGGAACACCGGAUGCGUAAGCGGAUAGCUGGACGGGUACUGACGCUCAGGCACGAAAGCGCGGGGAGCGAACAGGAUU
rnacentral:rRNA from 1 species